rnacentral:rRNA from 1 species
GAUGAACGCUAGCGGCAGGCCUAAUACAUGCAAGUCGAACGCGGGGUAGCAAUACCUCGAGUGGCGCACGGGUGCGUAACGCGUAACCAACCUGCCCUUGACUGGGGGAUAGCCCGCCGAAAGGCGGAUUAAUACCGCAUAAACCAGCAGCCUGGCAUCAGGCAACUGGUAAAGAUUUAUUGGUCAAGGAUGGGGUUGCGUGACAUUAGCGAGUUGGCGGGGUAACGGCCCACCAAGGCGACGAUGUCUAGGGGACCUGAGAGGGUGAUCCCCCACACUGGAACUGAGGUACGGGCCAGACUCCUGCGGGAGGCAGCAGUAGGGAAUAUUGGGCAAUGGGCGAGAGCCUGACCCAGCCAUGCCGCGUGCCGGAUGAAGGCCUUCUGGGUUGUAAACGGCUUUUCUCAGGGAAGAAAACGACCAUGCGUGGUACACUGACGGUACCUGAGGAAUAAGCACCGGCUAACUCCGUGCCAGCAGCCGCAGUAACAC